GAUGAACGCUGGCGGCGUGCCUAAUACAUGCAAGUCGAGCGAACAGACGAGGAGCUUGCUCCUCUGACGUUAGCGGCGGACGGGUGAGUAACACGUGGAUAACCUACCUAUAAGACUGGGAUAACUUCGGGAAACCGGAGCUAAUACCGGAUAAUAUAUUGAACCGCAUGGUUCAAUAGUGAAAGACGGUUUUGCUGUCACUUAUAGAUGGAUCCGCGCCGCAUUAGCUAGUUGGUAAGGUAACGGCUUACCAAGGCAACGAUGCGUAGCCGACCUGGGAGGGUGAUCGGCCACACUGGAACUGAGACACGGUCCAGACUCCUACGGGAGGCAGCAGUAGGGAAUCUUCCGCAAUGGGCGAAAGCCUGACGGAGCAACGCCGUGUGAGUGAUGAAGGUCUUCGGAUCGUAAAACUCUGUUAUUAGGGAAGAACAAAUGUGUAAGUAACUAUGCACGUCUUGACGGUACCUAAUCAGAAAGCCACGGCUAACUACGUG
rnacentral:rRNA from 1 species